rnacentral:sRNA from 1 species
CAGGUUCAGCGGCGCAGUAUUCUAGUCAAUGCACCGCACUUUUAAGGAGAGCCUAAAAAUUCUCAUAAGGGCACAUCGGUGAAGUCUCUUGUGUUUGCUUCUUACGCCCAGUUUGGGGUGGAUGCUGGAGGUUAAGGUCAACGGGCGGCCGCAAUGGCAUGCGGGAACCGACCCUUUUUCCGUGGAGACCCGUUUCUGUGCUCUGCGCUUUAUGACAGAGUACGGAGCGGGGAAGAACCUGCAAGGCGGUAUGGACCGGAGAAAACGUUCAUUGAACGAAAAUCAUCCGAUAAAUGCUGCGUGCAGUGUAGCCUGCCUUGAGUGGAUCUGAGGGAUUUGGGAACUACACGAAGGGAUUGUGGCCACAAUACCCGACGCGAUCGCCCAAUGAAAUCUUACCUGCAAAAAAGGAUAAGAAGUGCGAAGCUUGUUGUGGAAAACACCUAGGCUGUCGUAACUGGGCAGAAAAAGGAUUGAGGUACGGACUAAGUGGCAGUCGGGUCCCGGAUUCGGCAACGAACCGGCGAAGCAUUUAAAGGGAAACCGCCAGUACGGUAACGUAUGGUAGACUUCGGAGAAAUUCUACCCGUACCUAAGCCGUAAGAUUACCUUUUUCUGCUGCCGCUGCUU